AUUGAACGCUGGCGGCAGGCCUAACACAUGCAAGUCGAGCGGAUGACGGGAGCUUGCUCCUUGAUUCAGCGGCGGACGGGUGAGUAAUGCCUAGGAAUCUGCCUGGUAGUGGGGGACAACGUUUCGAAAGGAACGCUAAUACCGCAUACGUCCUACGGGAGAAAGCAGGGGACCUUCGAGCCUUGCGCUAUCAGAUGAGCCUAGGUCGGAUUAGCUAGUUGGUGGGGUAAUGGCUCACCAAGGCGACGAUCCGUAACUGGUCUGAGAGGAUGAUCAGUCACACUGGAACUGAGACACGGUCCAGACUCCUACGGGAGGCAGCAGUGGGGAAUAUUGGACAAUGGGCGAAAGCCUGAUCCAGCCAUGCCGCGUGUGUGAAGAAGGUCUUCGGAUUGUAAAGCACUUUAAGUUGGGAGGAAGGGCAGUAAGCUAAUACCUUGCUGUUUUGACGUUACCGACAGAAUAAGCACCGGCUAACUCUGUGCCAGCCGCCGCCGUAAUAC
rnacentral:rRNA from 1 species